GUUUUUUAAGGGAAAGAAGGGGAAUGUUAUGCAAUGGCCAAGGCAAUCACCUGACCUGAAUCCGAUUGAGCAUGCAUUUCACUUGAAGAAGACAAAACUGAAGGGAAAAAUGCCCCAAGAACAAGCAGUUGCAGUAGAGGCCUGGCAGAGCAUCACCAGGGAUGAAACCCAGCAUCUGGUGAUGUCUAUGCGUUCCAGACUUCAGGCUGUAAUUGACUGCAAAGGAUUUGCAACCAUGUAUUAAAAAG